AGUCACUGACAUUAGAUACCCCGGUAGUCCAGGGUGUAAACGCUGCAGACUUGGUGUUGGAAGCCCUUUGGGGGCAUUCAGUGCCGGAGAGAAGUUGUUGAGUCUGCUACUUGGGGAGUACGUCCGCAAGGAUGAAACUUAAAGGAAUUGGCGGGGGAGCACCGCAACGGGAGGAGCGUGCGGUUUAAUUGGAUUCAACACCGUAAACUCACCAGGGAAGACUGUUACAUGAAGGCCGAGAUGAAGACUCUGCUAGAUUUUCAG
rnacentral:rRNA from 1 species